rnacentral:rRNA from 1 species
UACGAAGGGGGCAAGCGUUGUUCGGAAUUACUGGGCGUAAAGGGCGCGUAGGCGGCUUAUCAAGUCAGGCGUGAAAUUCCCGGGCUCAACCUGGGGGCUGCGCUUGAUACUGAUUGGCUUGAAUGCGGGAGAGGAUAGUGGAAUUCCCAGUGUAGAGGUGAAAUUCGUAGAUAUUCGGAAGAACACCAGUGGCGAAGGCGACUUACUGGACACAUAUUGACGCUGAGGUGCGAAAGCGUGGGGAGCAAACAGG